ACACUAGAAAUUAGAAUAGAGACAGGGUUUAAUUGGAAUGAGCAAUAAAGACAUCUUUGUAAAAACUACUUUUAAAAAAGUUUUUUUCAUUACAGACAGGGUCUCGCUAUGCUGCAUAAGGCAAUCUUGAACUCAGGGCUCAAGCAAUCCUUCAGGCUCAGCCUUCCGAAGUCCUAGGAUUACAGAAAUGCGGUAAACAGGUGGACUAGAGUGGGGAAUGCGGCAGAGAGAUUGGUCAGGAGGACACGGCAGGACUCCAAGCAAGCAACAAGGAUGGCCUGAAACACAGAAGCGGUGGAGAAAAACAGAAACAAACAGGAUUUGUGAGACAUUUAGAAAACAGUCUCGAUGGGAGUUGUGGCUGCCUUGAUGCAUGGGCUGUUGUCAUGUAACGCCAAGGCCUUUCCUUGAUAUAUUCAUUGGCAAUCGGCAUCACUUUCCUACAUAAGCCAACCAGACACAUAACACACCAUCUGGGAUUUCUAGCUUUGCUUUCAUUAAAAUGGAAGAACAUUGGUCGGGCACGGUGGCUCAUGCCUGUAAUCCUAGCACUUUGGGCGACUGAGGCAGGAGGAUCACAAGGUCUGGAGUUCAAGACCAGCUUGGCCAAUAAGGUGGUCUCUACUAAAAAUACAAAUAUUAGCCAGGUGUGGUGGCAGGUGCCUGUAGUCCCAGCUACUCAGGAGGCUGAGACAGGAGAAUCGCUUGAACCUGGGAGGCCAAGGUUGCAGUGAGCCGAGAUCGUGUUACUGCACUCCAGCCUGGGCAACAGAGCGAGACUCCAUUUCAAAAAAUAAAAAAUAAAAAGGAAGAACAUCUUGAAUACAUCUGUAAAACAACCUUCACUACGGAAUCUUUUUAGAGUUCUACAAAUUUUUCUCCCAGGCUUUUACCAUUAACUUGUUCAUAAUUAACUCAAGAACAAUUUGUCUUAGCUACUCAUCUUCAACAAGUGUUUCUGAUUUUCACCUUCAUUUUCACAGCAAUAGCUACCCUCUUUUUUGGUACUCAUAUAUCAUAAUUUUUCAUAUUAUUUCAUUAAAUUAUGUAGUUGCAACGUAAGCAUAAGUGUCAGUCACACAUUUUAACAUUUUUUCAUUCUUUUUUUUUCUUUCUUUAAAGAAACAGGAUAUUCCUAUGUGGCCCAGGCUGGUCUCCAACUCCUGAGCAAUCUUGCCUCCAGCAUUCCAAAGUGUUAAGCUUACAGGCAUGAGCCACUGCGCUCAGCCCACACACACAUGACGUUGAGAAAAAAACACAAUGGACCCUCACUAGGCACACAACUCAAAUGGAGGAGCAGAAGCACAGGCAUGCAAGAGCCUAUUGGUCAUACCCACUCAUUGUGCUGUGGGGAAAUGGUGUUUCUCCUCACAGCCUCUCUCCCCAGAGGCCUUCCCUGAUCAUCUAUUUAAGAUUAACCCUUCUGGCUGGGCGUGGUGGCUCACAUUUGUAAUCCCAGCACUUUGGGGGUCCAAGGCACAAGGAUCACUUGAGGUCAGGAGUUGGAGACCAGCCUGGCCAAGAUGAUGAAACCCCAUCUCUACUUAACACACAGAACUUAGCUGGGCAUGGUGGCAAGCACCUAUAAUCCCAGCUACUUGGGAGGCUGAGACAUAAGAGUCAGUUGAACUCUGCACCCAGGAGGUGGAGGUUCCAGUGAGCUAGAUCACACUACUGCACUCUAGCCUGAGGCAACAGAGCUAGAGAGCAUGAAAAAGACUUCUCCUCUAUCUCAAACAAACAAAAAAGAUUAACCCUUUCAUCACUCUCUAUUCCUAGAUUAUUUUUUCUUCAUAGGAUUUACCACCACCUAAUUUUUUUGUUUCAUUUGUUUAUUGCCUGUCUCUUCAUUAAAAUAUAAAUGUCCUAAGUACAGGGAUUUACUUUUGUUUAUCCCUUGUACCUAGAAAACAGUUCCUGGCACAUACCAGACACCUACUAUUUGUUAAAUGAAUACUGUGGAAUGAAUGUUUUACACAUGAAAAUUCUUAAUCAAACAAAACAACUGUGUGGAGACUGCUCAAGAAGCAAUACUUUAUAGGCUAAGAGGAAUUGAAAAUCAGUAAGAUACUCCAAUAACCUGAGUCUAGUAAAGAGCAAAAUUACGUAAGUAACCGUAGAAAAAGAUGGUAUGGUAUGCGAUAAGUGCCAUGCAGGAGAUCCAAUAAAAAGAUGAUGUCUAUAAAAAUAAUGAAUAAGAGAAAAGAAAAGACGAAGUCUAGAGAAGUGAGAAAUGAUAUGUCAACCCUGUCUCAGAAAGCUGGACUGAUUUCAGCUUAAUUCAAUCCACACCACUUACUGAGCAUCCAAUCUAAAUUUACUCAGAAGAAGCCCAGGUGAAAAGUACGUAAGGAAGAGGAAUGGGAAGCAGCAAGGCAAUCAGGGAGGUCACUGGUGGCACGGUGGCUUUUUGGCCUUUUAAUCCAGCUAGGACCACAUAAGAGGUAGUAUCCAAGCCUAGAACCAGUAUGCCUAGGUUUGAAUCCUAGUUCUCCUUCCCUGCUAGGUGUGAACAAGUUAAAUUCCUCUCUGUAUCCUCUAUGUAAGAAAAGUACUCCCUUUAUUAGUCAUUCUAAAGACUUCAUGAAUUGAACUGCAAAAAAGACAGUAGUGUCAGCACAUAUAAAAUGCUAAAUAAAUGUAAUGUUUAUUAUGAUGAUGAAUAGGUUCAAUAUUUACAGGUUGUUAACUAUAAACACCAGCUAGCCACCCCCCUACACACACACAUAUUUUUUUUUUUUGAGACAGGGUCUUGUUCUCCGUCACCCAAGCUGGAGUGCAGUGGCACAAUCUUGGCUCACUGCAACCUCCACCUCCUGGGUUCAAGUAAUUCUCCUGCCUCAGCCUCCCAAGUAGCUGGGAUUACAAGCGCAUACCACUAUGCCUGGCUAAUGUUCAUAUUUUUAGUAGAGACAGUUUUGCCAUCUUGACCAGGCUGGUCUUGAACAACUGACCUCAAGAUAUCCACCCACCUCAGCCUCCCAAAGUGCUGGGAUUACAGGCAUGAGCCACGGCACCUAACCAAAAUUUAUAUAUUUAUACCAUUCCCUCCACAAAGAUUCAAGACAAUUUAUACCAAACUAUGUUUAUGUACACAUAUAUACAUAUAUAUUUUGAAAAACAGAAACAGAAUUUAAAAUGAAAAAGAGAAGGAACUAUGUCUACAACUAAAACUGACAUAGGAACUUCUGUACAACCAAGGCAAAAAGUGAAACACAAUGAGUUGCAAAAUUCUUAUUAUUUGGUAAAAGGCAACAUAAUCUUUCAACAUAAACUUUCCUUUGAUACUGAAUCCUAAAAAGAGCAUAACAUGUGGGACCCCCAACAAAGCAUAUUUGGGAUUAUCACGUUGGCGAUUUCAACAAUAGUGUUGUGAUAAAUGCAAACACCUUCUUCAUACAAUUGUUUCUUGUAGCCACUAUCAAUAAAACCUAGACAAUGCAUUGAAGCCAAUUUUGUAAAGAGAAGUCUACUGCUCCAAACCAAUAUAAGUAAAGCUGCUAUGAACAUUCAUAUACAAUCCAAAGACUUGCGGACAUACUAAGCUUGCACUACAACUAUGUAACUUAAUAAAAUAACAUGGAAACUGAUGAAAUAUGAGUUAAAAAACAGAAACAGGUGCUAUAAAACUAAGUUGAAAACAGGAAA